rnacentral:piRNA from 1 species
UUAAUGCCACUGGCUCAAGCAAA